GACGUCGGGCGCGAGCGUUGUCCGGAUUUAUUGGGCGUCAAGAGCUCGUAGGCGGCUUGUCGCGUCGACCGUGAAAACCUGGGGCUCAACCCCAAGCCUGCGGUCGAUACGGGCAGGCUCGAGUUCGGUAGGGGAGACUGGAAUUCCUGGUGUAGCGGUGAAAUGCGCAGAUAUCAGGAGGAACACCGAUGGCGAAGGCAGGUCUCUGGGCCGAUACUGACGCUGAGGAGCGAAAGCGUGGGGAGCGAACAGG
rnacentral:rRNA from 1 species